AGAAAAAGCACAAAUAUUCAGUAUUAGUCUCUUAAUAGCAGCCUGACAUCCAAAAGUAAAUUCCUAAUUUUUUCUCUAAUGUUUAAUAAGACCUUAAUUCUGUGUUAUUUAAUUAAUUGCUUUGUGAAUUCUGUAUCACAGUUACUAUGUUACAGCAAAUGAAGCCCAGGAAUCGCAACCUUCUCCCCUCUAAAUUCCCAACAACUACCAACACUAAAUCAGGAAAGAAAUUGUUACUGGACAAGCCCAGGCAUAAUGAACAUCAGAUCUCAAACCAAAGCAGCAGCACAGAACGAACAUCUCCCUGAUCUGUACUGCCCAGAGACCAUUCACUUCUUUUAUCAGGAAUGUCAGAGAAGAAACCUGUUAUGUGAAGAUUACACCUGGGUCGCCCAGCUACUGAAGCAGCUGUAUCAGCAGCACUGAAAACCUUUGC